rnacentral:rRNA from 1 species
AGCGAACGCUGGCGGCAGGCUUAACACAUGCAAGUCGAACGGGCGUAGCAAUACGUCAGUGGCAGACGGGUGCGUAACGCGUGGGAAUAUACCUUUUGGUUCGGAACAACUGCGGGAAACUGCAGCUAAUACCGAAUGUGCCCUAACGGGAAAGAUUAUCGCCAAAGGAUUAGCCCGCGUAGGAUUAGCUAGUUGGUGAGGUAAUGGCUCACCAAGGCUCCGAUCCUUAGCGUUCUGAGAGGAAGAUCAGCCACACUGGGACUGAGACACGGCCCAGACUCCUACGGGAGGCAGCAGUUGGGAAUCUU